GAUAGGCUUGAUGAUUCAGAUACUACAACUUUUCGUUUCAGGUUUGGAAGUCAUCGUUGUAGCUGAUAAGAAAAUAAUACAGAGCUAAUACAUAGAGAAAUUUGAAGAUUUCAAGAUCUGGGAAAUGUAGUUCUGUUUCAGACACUAUCUUGGCAUUAACUAAAUAUUAACAUGUGCUUCGUGACCUGGUGGGAUCUACAACUGAAAGUAAGUAUCUUCCUUUGGAGAUGGUGAUCGGCAAGAAAUAAAGCAAUACUGGGGAGAGAAUUUGUGGAGUUCCUCAGUAACAUAUCACCUACUAGAAUUUGGAAAACUGAAGUCUGAUCGAGAUCGAGAGAAAACAAACUCAGACCCAAGCUAAAUGGAAUCCACUGGAUGAGGGAACAUAACAGAUCAAUAUUGAUGCAGCUUUUUUUCUCCCAAGGAGAUGAUUAGGGUUGGGGUUUUGUGGCAAUAGAUACUCUAGUUUUGAGAUGGUACUAAACAAAGCCCUGAAGUUUAUAUACGAAUUAGUAACUGGUGAUAUGCCUGGAUCGGUUGUUGCUUAAUGGAAGUUAUAAUUCGUUUUAAAAAACUAAUACACAAGCCUUUGAAAAGCCAUUAAAUGAACCUUAUACUUUCUAUUUGGAUGGCCUUUUUCAAAUUAAGCUUCCUAAAGUGGAUGAAAUAAAAUUAUGUUACGAGUUAAGUAUUUUUACUAAAUAUUUUUUUAAAACACGUGCGUGCCGUACAUGCACUUUACUAGUUAAUCUAAUCACCCGGCAACAUCACUCUCCAUCCACUACUAGAGAACUGACUUUAGAUCCCACCCCCUUUAGUCUUGGUUUAAUUUCGGCCCGGGAGAAAAGGGGGUGCACCACGGUAGGCUAGAAUGGGGCGCACCUUUACUCUCGGUUCUUUUUU
rnacentral:lncRNA from 1 species